CGGCGGACGGGUGAGUAACACGUGGAUAACUUACCUAUAAGACUGGGAUAACUUCGGGAAACCGGAGCUAAUACCGGAUAAUAUAUUGAACCGCAUGGUUCAAUAGUGAAAGACGGUUUUGCUGUCACUUAUAGAUGGAUCCGCGCCGCAUUAGCUAGUUGGUAAGGUAACGGCUUACCAAGGCAACGAUGCGUAGCCGACCUGAGAGGGUGAUCGGCCACACUGGAACUGAGACACGGUCCAGACUCCUACGGGAGGCAGCAGGC
rnacentral:rRNA from 1 species